AGACAGUUAGCUCAGUUGGUAGAGCGCAACCUGAAAUGGUUGAGGUCAUCGGUUCGAGUCCGAUACAGCCUC
rnacentral:tRNA from 1 species